rnacentral:rRNA from 1 species
CGGCAGCACGGGAGCAAUCCUGGUGGCGAGUGGCGAACGGGUGAGUAAUACAUCGGAACGUGCCCUGUUGUGGGGGAUAACUAGUCGAAAGAUUAGCUAAUACCGCAUACGACCUGAGGGUGAAAGCGGGGGACCGAAAGGCCUCGCGCAAUAGGAGCGGCCGAUGUCUGAUUAGCUAGUUGGUGGGGUAAAAGCUCACCAAGGCGACGAUCAGUAGCUGGUCUGAGAGGACGAUCAGCCACACUGGGACUGAGACACGGCCCAGACUCCUACGGGAGGCAGCAGUGGGGAAUUUUGGACAAUGGGGGCAACCCUGAUCCAGCAAUGCCGCGUGUGUGAAGAAGGCCUUCGGGUUGUAAAGCACUUUUGUCCGGAAAGAAAUGGCCCUGGCUAAUACCCGGGGUCGAUGACGGUACCGGAAGAAUAAGCACCGGCUAACUACGUGCCAGCAGCCGCGGUAAUACGUAGGGUGCGAGCGUUAAUCGGAAUUACUGGGCGUAAAGCGUGCGCAGGCGGUUUUGUAAGACAGGCGUGAAAUCCCCGGGCUCAACCUGGGAAUUGCGCUUGUGACUGCAAGGCUAGAGUGCGUCAGAGGGGGGUAGAAUUCCACGUGUAGCAGUGAAAUGCGUAGAGAUGUGGAGGAAUACCGAUGGCGAAGGCAG